UCUCAAAAAAAAAGAAUCCACAACCGUCUCCCUCAGCAGUUAGUAAAACUAAAGAAUUUUCAGCACGUCAAAUCGUCUUCACAAUGUGAUCGGCGGAGAAAUGCAUGAAAACCAAUAAGCCACCCCGUAAAAGCUCUAUCAUCCCAAAUUGCACCUCACUGUUCUUCACUUCAGCAAAAGGCAACAAGCGGUGCGAGACGAAAUAAAAAUUCACGCGUCUUUUUCCCUCUCCUCUGCCUACUCGUAAUAAGAUUUUUAACAGCGAUUGCAGCACACAGAUUCAUCCUUCUAUCAAGAGAUCAAUCCACGUCACCCCCAAGGACUUGAAUCGAUUAUACCAGUCUAUCCCCUUACCCCUUUCGAUUUGAGUUGAUUUUUUCAGAGAAAAUGUUGUUCAUCCAAAAAGGAAAAAUGUUUUGAAAUACGAAUUGCUAAUGGGCCUUUUGCUAUCCGAAAUUUUGGUCCGUUUCCCCCAAAUACAAGCAACAAUCUCUGGGUAUAUAUAAUCCGUUUCUUUUACUGUUGGAGGGGGGAAAACGAGAUCAGAUUAGAAAUAUUUGGACAAGAAAUCUUUUAGAAAGAAUAUCUUAAGCAGGUAGUCUUGAAAAAAAGAUAUACAUUCAAAAAGAAAAAGGGAGCCUCUUGUUUGCUACUUCGUGAUUGUGUGGUGGAGCUCGUUGUUGUCUUUCAAAGCUCGUCUCUUUGCUCGUUGUCUUACUCCGGUGCACUCGAAAAGAUCGCCGAGAACUCAUUUUCCUUUGCAUUUCGGAUAGGACAUAAAGGCCCAAAUAUAUUUUGUUUCAUCUCGAGUCGGCCAAUUAAAAUGCGAUGUACAAGAUUUGGAGUUGAAAUGGCGUGAAGCAAGUCAAAGAUAUCCAAAGAUUGGGUCAAUAGCCCAUUCCUUUUUCUAGUUAUUUUAGUAUUUUUGUUAUUUUUGAGCCUAAGAUCUUUUCCUUUUUGUUAUUUAAUGUUGUUAGAAUUUCAGAAUAGGUACAUAUCGAAUGGGCCUAAUUCCUUCAAAACAAUAAUGGUCCAACUACAGGUCCAGGCAAACGGAAACCGAAUUUGGACCAAA